UUUUAUUUGAGAGUUUGAUCCUGGCCCAGGAUGAACGCUGGCGGCGUGCCUAACACAUGCAAGUUGAGCGAUUUACUUCGGUAAAGAGCGGCGGACGGGUGAGUAACGCGUGGGUAACCUACCCUGUACACACGGAUAACAUACCGAAAGGUAUGCUAAUACGGGAUAAUAUAUUUGAGAGGCAUCUCUUAAAUAUCAAAGGUGAGCCAGUACAGGAUGGACCCGCGUCUGAUUAGCUAGUUGGUAAGGUAACGGCUUACCAAGGCGACGAACAGUAGCCGACCUGAGAGGGUGAUCGGCCACAUUGGAACUGAGACACGGUCCAAACUCCUACGGGAGGCAGCAGUGGGGAAUAUUGAACAAUGGGCGAAAGCCUGAUGCAGCAACGCCGCGUGAGUGAUGAAGGCCUUCGGGUCGUAAAACUCUGUCCUCAAGGAAGAUAAUGACGGUACUUGAGGAGGAAGCCCCGGCUAACUACGUGCCAGCAGCCGCGGUAAUACGUAGGGGGCUAGCGUUAUCCGGAUUUACUGGGCGUAAAGGGUGCGUAGGCGGUCUUUCAAGUCAGGAGUGAAAGGCUACGGCUCAACCGUAGUAAGCUCUUGAAACUGGGAGACUUGAGUGCAGGAGAGGAGAGUGGAAUUCCUAGUGUAGCGGUGAAAUGCGUAGAUAUUAGGAGGAACACCAGUUGCGAAGGCGGCUCUCUGGACUGUAACUGACGCUGAGGCACGAAAGCGUGGGGAGCAAACAGGAUUAGAUACCCUGGUAGUCCACGCUGUAAACGAUGAGUACUAGGUGUCGGGGGUUACCCCC
rnacentral:rRNA from 1 species